CUCCCGAGCCGCUCUGCAAUGCACCAUAAAGGUCUCAGGUGAACAGUAACAGCAUCCCUGUCUGAACAGCUGCAUCCGUCAGUGUCACACUGGAGUGUGGGCGCGCCUUAACCCUAACCCUAAUCCGUCAGUGUCACACUGGAGUGUGGGCACGCCUUAACCCUAACCCGUCAGUGUCGCACUGGAGUGUGGGAACGCCCUAACCCGUCAGUGUCACACUGGAGUAUGAGCACGCCCUAACCCUAACCCAUCAGUGUCGCUCUGGAGUGUGAGCAUGCCCUAACCCUAACCCGUCAGUGUCGCACUGGAGUGUGAGCACUCCCUAACCCUAACCCGUCAGUGUCGCACUGGAGUGUGAGCACGCCCUAACCCUAACCCGUCAGUGUCGCAGUGGAGUGUGAGCACUCCCUAACCCUAACCCGUCAGUGUCGCACUGGAGUGUGAGCACGCCCUAACCCUAACCCCACUGUGUGUUUCAUUAUUUGGUUGUGGGUUUGUGUUUUUUUGUUUGUUUGAAUGAUUAUUGUUUGGUUGUAUGUUUUUGUUGCUUUUUUAUUUUAGGUUGUAUGUCUUUUUGUUUCUUUGUGUGAUUGUUAUUUAGCUGUAUGUUUGUGUUUUACGUGAGUAUUUGUAUUAUGGCUGGGCAAUUAAUCAAAACUGACAUUCAGAACCUCUAAUCGACGUAAUCUUGCCCGUGUCAGUUCAUUUGUUUUUCUUUUCCUUUCCUGUUAAUACUUAAAAACAAACGACGGCGUCUGCUGUCACAUGACGUCUGCAACAUGGAAGCAACACGAACUCAAACAUCGAGUCGACUGAGUACCUCCAGUAGCUUGUACCAAACAUAACCAGCCGUGUCCGUGGUUUGGACACAUUGUGACUUUAGUGCAGACAGCACCUAACAAGAGGUCAAACAGCGCGAACAAACAGUUUCAGCCACCAAAGAUAAUACCACCAAUUGGUUUCACCACUAACAAUGUUUAAUAUACAGGAUCAAUAUACAGGAGAAUAUGGAUCAAAAAGCUUGGGACAGAAUCAUUCCUGUACAAAUACUGUUUAAUUUGGUUAUAGUAAUCAAGUAUAAUUUGCUUAUAGUAAUCAAGUAUAAUUUGCUUAUAGUAGUCAAGUAUAAUUUGCUUAUAAUAAUCAAGUAGCCCACUCAAAGUGUUGGAUUUUUUUAUACAUAACAUAGAGAAAAAAAUGUAAUCACUAUAAUUUUACUACUUUUUUUUUACUUGCCUACUUUGACUUGCUGUAACUCGUCUGCUAGCUAGCUGAGGCUAAUGCUGCGUGCGCAGAAAACAUGGCAGGAAAAGAAAGUCAUUUUCUCUCCAUUACGAAAACGGACUAAUCAAAAUUUACGAUGGACUGUCAAAAACGAGCCAAUGAGAUACAGCGGCUUUAUUUUAUGUUCAGUAUUGUACAGCAUGUACUGUGUUAUAGCGUAUUUGAAUUAUGCACAGUUCAGUGAUGUCGUUUGUGCAGUACUGUCGUUUGAAAAGCGUCGGAAACAGCUGUACUGAAUGUUGAACGAAUAAAAUUCAGUAAAUAUAUGCAUGUAAUAAAUACACAAAUUAGAUGGAAAUCUGCCCGAAACAAAGAAAAAGGAGAAAAACCGAUUAUAGCGAUCAGACGUAAUCACUAUAAACGGCUUCCAUUGUAAUUUAGUUGGUAAAUUUUGUUUGCAAGUUUGUUUACAGGAAAUGCAAAAUAUUUUCUGCUUUUUUAGGGAACUUUUUACGUUAAAACUAAAAUGUGACCUUUUUCAUAAGAUUCAUUUCAAGCGAUUAGUGCUUUGAUUUUGGUUGUUUGAAAUAUUCAGUGAAUAGCCAUAAAUGUUUCCUGACAUUAUUUAAAAAUCAUAAAAAUAUAGUCUUUUGUUAGAAAAAAUAUCCCAGCUUUAAUAGUUUAGCCUCUUUACAGUACAAAUCUUGCCAGUGAAAUAUGAAGGCAAAAAAAAAAAUAUCAUCGUAAUCAAGGUAAAAUAUUCAGUACGUCAUGAUAUUGAUUUGAGGUCAUAUUUCCCAGCUCAACUUUGUAUGAUUGGAGUUCGGUUGUACAGAUUGUCCACAACUUGCAGUCUAUGCAGCGUACGACAACUUGGACAUAAAAAGAAAAAUGUAAAUGUAAAAUAUAUUUAAUGAGGGAAUAUGCCUGGCAGUGUUAUGCUACCUAGUGUGCUCUCUGUACCAUUCGGUAGUAUAGUAUAGUGUAGUAUAGUAUAGUAUAGUAUAGUAUGGUACAGUACCUUGCUGUUUUGUGUGGCAGUGUGAUCAUCGCAGCCUCACACAUAUUUCAGAGUCUCAUUCCAAACCUUAAACUUUGAUGUUCAUUUUAAUGUAUGACCUGGCAGAAUAGGAACUCACUCAUAAUGGGGGGGAGGGGUCUUCAUGCUCCUCCUUUUUUCUUUGUGUUAUUGUUGCGUUUGCUUGUAUGAUGUGUGUCUUUGUCUGUAUUAUUGUUUUUCUUUGUUGUACUUGCAUGUUUUAUCUAUUUUUGUUUGCGUCUGUUGCACUUGCUUGUCUGUCUGUUUCUUCAUUUCUUUCUGUCUUUCGUCUGCCUGUUUUCGUUUUGCUCUCUGUCACACACACAGACUUCCCCUAAUACACCUGGAAGGGGUGGUGAUAUGAGCCCCCGGCUUUGUGGAGGAGUGCCGCUCACCCCCUGUCAGCUUGCCUCUUCACUGCCGUCCCACACGGUUAUUGAGCCCCAAGUUAAGAGACUCACCCAUGUUGCCUGGUCUUUGGGACGGAGCUGAUGAAGGUUGGGGGGCGGGGGCAGACUGGCCAGACCAAACCCUUAGAUGUGACCGUACCCGACGGCAACAGUAGCAGGAUGGGGGGACAUCAAGGACACAGAGGUCAUCUAGGAAGGGGGCUGGGCGGGGGGGCAGGUCGUACCCCUGGGCUUGCCUCUGCCCUCUGGUCCCCAACAACAAAGACACAGAAAGGCAUUUGUGCACUUCCAAACACAAAAGGAUUGGCUGGCUGUGAAGACGUGCUCUCACAAAAUCACUGUGGGGGAACAGGGGCUUCACUUAGCUACCCAAGACUGGAGGAACUUCAUAUCUGCAUCUGGAACAUUCAGGUCCAGGCUGUAAACUGCGAGAAAACAAUAUGACUAAGUAAUGGUAGUGUCAUCACUCCUGGCAGCUUUUUGGGUGGCCCUGCUUAGCGUGUGGAAACAUGGAGGGUUAGGGAUAGUGUUUGGGUGGCCCUGUCUAGGUGUGAGGAAGAGUGGAGGGUUAGGGAUAGUGUUUGGGUGGCCCUGCCUAGGUGUGAGGAAGUGUGGAGGGUUAGGGAUAGUGUUUGGGUGGCCCUGUCUAGGCGUGAGGAAGCGUGGAGGGUUAGGGAUAGUGUUUGGGUGGCCCUGCCUAGGGGUGAGGAAGAGUGGAGGGUUAGGGAUAGUGUUUGGGUGGCCCUGUCUAGGUGUGAGGAAGAGUGGAGGGUUAGGGAUAGUGUUUGGGUGGCCCUGCCUAGGGGUGAGGAAGAGUGGAGGGUUAGGGAUAGUGUUUGGGUGGCCCUGUCUAGGGGUGAGGAAGAGUGGAGGGUUAGGGAUAGUGUUUGGGUGGCCCUGUCUAGGUGUGAGGAAGCGUGGAGGGUUAGGGAUAGUGUUUGGGUGGCCCUGCCUAGGGGUGAGGAAGAGUGGAGGGUUAGGGAUAGUGUUUGGGUGGCCCUGCCUGGGCGUGAGGAAGAGUGGAGGGUUAGGGAUAGUGUUUGGGUGGCCCUGCCUAGGGGUGAGGAAGAGUGGAGGGUUAGGGAUAGUGUUUGGGUGGCCCUGUCUAGGUGUGAGGAAGCGUGGAGGGUUAGGGAUAGUGUUUGGGUGGCCCUGCCUAGGGGUGAGGAAGAGUGGAGGGUUAGGGAUAGUGUUUGGGUGGCCCUGUCUAGGUGUGAGGAAGCUUGUUCUGAGCACAGCUGCAGUUGAAUGGACACGUUCCUUCAUGUUGGGUUCUCGGUCUAACAGAAUUGGGUCCUGAUGUCCCGGCACUGACCCCCACCUCCCCC